UACGGAGGGUGCGAGCGUUAAUCGGAAUUACUGGGCGUAAAGCGUGCGUAGGCGGCCGGCUAAGUCAGGCGUGAAAGCCCCGGGCUCAACCUGGGAACGGCGCUUGAAACUGGUCGGCUGGAGUUUGGGAGAGGGGGGCGGAAUUCCGGGUGUAGCGGUGAAAUGCGUAGAUAUCCGGAGGAACACCAGUGGCGAAGGCGGCCCCCUGGCCCAAAACUGACGCUGAGGCACGAAAGCGUGGGUAGCAAACAGG
rnacentral:rRNA from 1 species